CAGCGGUUCAGUCGUAGCGUGAGAAAGAUAUCGCCUGUAACGUCGCACAGUUAAUGAAACAACUAGUAAGGACAUGGACAUGCAAACGACAGACUGAUGGUUAGACAAAUCACGCUACACGUUCAAACGAUAUUUUGACGCCCACCGCGUUAAAUCGUAAGAAAAAUGGUACCUCAAGCCACACUCAAAAUAAGCGAACAAUUCCACCAAAA